AACGUAGGAGGCGAGCGUUAUCCGGAUUCACUGGGCGUAAAGCGCAGGUAGGUGGUUCGUUAAGUGGGUUGUGAAAGCCCCUGGCUCAACUGGGGGAGGUCAACCCAAACUGGCAGACUUGAGGUUCAGAGAGGAAAGUGGAAUUCCCGGUGUAGCGGUGGAAUGCGUAGAGAUCGGGAGGAACACCAGUGGCGAAGGCGACUUUCUGGCUGAAUCCUGACACUGAGAAGCGAAAGCGUGGGUAG
rnacentral:rRNA from 1 species